UAAAUUAGGAAAAUUUUAGUUAAAUGAGAGUCAAAAUUGUUCUAUGAUAAUUAAUUAAUCAUAUUUUGGUAAUUCUGAUAAAUUAUUUACUUAUGAUAAAAUCUUUAUAGUCAUAUUCUUUAGUAGUAAAUUGAAAUUCUUUCAAAAUGGCACAUUUCGUUGAUAGUGAAGCAAUAAGUAGAUCGAGAGCCGAUGCGAUGCAUUCUGAUUCGCUGGGUUUUCCGCCACAGCUACCGCUUAUAACAGUCACACCACCUCAAACUUUUUGGGACAGAUAUUAUGAAAAAAAUUAUCCAAAGGUGGCUUCAUAUCCACGAUUCGUAAGCGAGUUGCUGGCGAUAAUAAAGGACAACAUUCCUGAAGCAAAUUUGGAUCUGUUUAAUACACCAGAGAUGAUAAUUGGAACUUUAAAUUCGAUUGUGAAGAGACUUGAUGACAGAA